rnacentral:rRNA from 1 species
UACGUAGGGGGCGAGCGUUAUCCGGAAUUACUGGGUGUAAAGGGUGCGUAGGCGGCUAUGCAAGUCAGAUGUGAAAACUCAGGGCUCAACCUUGAGGCUGCAUCUGAAACUGCGUAGCUAGAGUGUGGGAGAGGAAAGUGGAAUUCCGAGUGUAGCGGUGAAAUGCGUAGAGAUUCGGAGGAACACCAGUAGCGAAGGCGGCUUUCUGGACCAUAACUGACGCUGAGGCACGAAAGCGUGGGGAGCAAACAGGAUUAGAAACCCGUGUAGUCC